AGAGUUUGAUCCUGGCUCAGGACGAACGCUGGCGGCGUGCCUAAUACAUGCAAGUAGAACGCUGAAGGAGGAGCUUGCUUCUCUGGAUGAGUUGCGAACGGGUGAGUAACGCGUAGGUAACCUGCCUGGUAGCGGGGGAUAACUAUUGGAAACGAUAGCUAAUACCGCAUAAGAGUAGAUGUUGCAUGACAUUUGCUUAAAAGGUGCACUUGCAUCACUACCAGAUGGACCUGCGUUGUAUUAGCUAGUUGGUGGGGUAACGGCUCACCAAGGCGACGAUACAUAGCCGACCUGAGAGGGUGAUCGGCCACACUGGGACUGAGACACGGCCCAGACUCCUACGGGAGGCAGCAGUAGGGAAUCUUCGGCAAUGGACGGAAGUCUGACCGAGCAACGCCGCGUGAGUGAAGAAGGUUUUCGGAUCGUAAAGCUCUGUUGUAAGAGAAGAACGAGUGUGAGAGUGGAAAGUUCACACUGUGACGGUAUCUUACCAGAAAGGGACGGCUAACUACGUGCCAGCAGCCGCGGUAAUACGUAGGUCCCGAGCGUUGUCCGGAUUUAUUGGGCGUAAAGCGAGCGCAGGCGGUUAGAUAAGUCUGAAGUUAAAGGCUGUGGCUUAACCAUAGUAGGCUUUGGAAACUGUUUAACUUGAGUGCAAGAGGGGAGAGUGGAAUUCCAUGUGUAGCGGUGAAAUGCGUAGAUAUAUGGAGGAACACCGGUGGCGAAAGCGGCUCUCUGGCUUGUAACUGACGCUGAGGCUCGAAAGCGUGGGGAGCAAACAGGAUUAGAUACCCUGGUAGUCCACGCUGUAAACGAUGAGUGCUAGGUGUUAGACCCUUUCCGGGGUUUAGUGCCGUAGCUAACGCAUUAAGCACUCCGCCUGGGGAGUACGACCGCAAGGUUGAAACUCAAAGGAAUUGACGGGGGCCCGCACAAGCGGUGNAAGAAAGUGAUUUCGGAUGACAGCUUGUGUUCUGCCUUCAAGAACAGUGAUAAUAUUAAGAUUAUCAAAAUCUUGCGCAAUGAAACUCAUCUUUCCCUUAGUGAAGGCAUACUCAUCCCAAGACAUAAUCUUUGGAAGCCGAGAAAAAUCAUGCUCAAAGUGAAAGUCAUUGAGCUUGCGAAUGACAGUUGAAGUUGAAAUGGAAAGCUGAUGGGCAAUAUCAGUCAUAGAAAUUUUUUCAAUUAACUUUUGAGCAAUUUUUUGGUUGAUGAUACGAGGGAUUUGGUGAUUUUUCUUUACCAGGGGAGUCUCAGCAACCAUCAUUUUUGAACAGUGAUAGCACUUGAAACGGCGUUUUCUAAGGAGAAUUCUAGAAGGCAUACCAGUUGUUUCGAGGUAAGGGAUCUUAGACGGUUUUUGAAAGUCAUAUUUCUUCAUUAGACUUCCACAAUCAGGGCAAGAUGGAGCCUCAUAAUCCAGCUUAGCGAUAAUUUCUUUGUGGGUAUCCAUAUUGAUGAUAUCUAGAAUCUUGAUGUUUGGGUCUUUAAUAUCGAGCAGUUUUGUGAUAAAAUGUAAUUGUUCCAUAUGAUUCUUUCUAAUGAGUUGUUUUGUCGCUUUUCAUUAUAGGUCAUAUGGGACUUUUUUUCUACACAAAAUAGGCUCCAUAAUAUCUAUAGUGGAUUUACCCACUACAAAUAUUAUAGAACCACAAAAAACUCUCUUAGUGUGAAUAUGUACUAAGAGAGUUUUUUGUAUAUAAAUUAUCUUCUACAACAAAUUAGAAAGGUAUUUAGCCUUUUCUUUUGAUAUGCCAAAAUUAAGAUUACGAUGACGUUGGAAUAAGGUAUAAAAAGUAAUGAAUGAUAGAAAAUUAUUUAGUAGGUAACUAAUCGGACUUUCUCCGACUGCAGUUAGCUCAACUUUUCGUUUAUCCCCUAAAUCUGAUAUAGUAACUAAGACUUGCCAACAUGUAUAUCUACUUAAACCUGGGUGCUUCAUGUAAUCAAAAAAAUUUCCCUGUCCAGAGUAUGAAAUUUCUUCAGAACUUUGCCGUUCAACACUACCGUUCAAUUGUUUUGUAGCAUUAUACAGUAUUUCUUCUAUCUCAAACUUACUUAAUUCACUAUAAAUUUGAUUUGAUUGUAAAUUAAAUUUUGUCAUUGUAGUAUUCUCCUUUUUGAUUAGUAUUUUUCCAGCUCUCUUUCUAAUUCGAGCUCCUUAAUUCUAUCUUGUAAUAUUGUGUUUGAAUGAUGUAAGCUAUAAAUUUGGUCUUGCAUUCUUUUAGAAUUGUAUUCAUUUGAAUAAUAGUGAAUAGCUUGUUGCAAAUUUGAUGCAAUAUCAGCGUUUAAAAAAUAUUGUAUACCUGAAAUAUGAUUAUAUGUUCUAAAUUCAGUUGGAAUGGAGUAGUACUCUUUUCGCAAAGUAGAUAAUAAUUUUUUCUUUUCUUCCCUAUAUUUUUCUUGAGUCGCAUUUAUUAUUUUAUCGUAUUUUAUUUUUUCUUUAACAAUUCUGAUUUUAUCUGCUACAUAUAGUACUGUAGAUAAAAUCCAAAUGAACAUGAUAAUUUCUGAAGUGUAAAAAAAUAGUGAUACAAUGAACAAGAAAAGAACAAUAGCACCGUAUAUUCGUUUUUUUGUAGUUUCAAAUUUUUCUUUAUGAAGAUUAAAUUCAAGUUCAUUAUAAUAUUCAUCAAAUUUAGAAAUUUUAUCUAUUUCUUCUUCUGCAAUUUUAAGAGUUCGAUGUGCUAACUCUUUGGUAGUUGGUCUAGGAACUGUUUUCUUUUCUUCAAGUUGUUGGGUAGGCAAUUCACUAUUAUCAUCAUACAUUGAUUGAAGGUAGGUUAGAAUAGCAAGCCCUCUAGUAUAAAUAAUUUGAUUACUAAUUCUUACAUAUUCCUCAAAAUCAUCAAUUUCAGAUAAUCGAAUUAAAUAUCCUUCAUCAUCAAAAAAUACAGUUAAGAAGUUAUCGGAUAGAAAUGUUUCAAAAUCUUUAAAUUGGUCAAAAUAUUCCUUUUCAUCUAAAAUUGCUCUUUUAAACUCAUCAUCUGGAGUCAAUGUGCCAUCAUAUAAGUCCCAUAUUACUGAUAGAGUAAGGUCAAAAUAAUCAUUAUAAGGAGACUGUGCUCUUUUAGGA
rnacentral:rRNA from 1 species